AUUCAGCUGGCGAGCCUCAAAUAGAACGAAAUGCGCGUCCUGAAU
rnacentral:hammerhead_ribozyme from 1 species